AGAAUCCACAUGGAGAACAGUGGGAGGAGCGAGAGCUGAGGAAGCCGAGCUGGUGGAGAUAACUUUUCAAGAGAGUUUGGCUCUGAAGGGGGAGAGUGAGCUGGGACAGUAAGUACAGGGGAAUGAGUAGAGGGGAGUUCUUGUUUUUAGGGGGAACAUUUGGACGUGAAAAUGGUCUGUGUGGGAGGGAGAAAGUCAAAGGUGAUGGGAUAAGGUUUCUGAGAAGCAGGAGGGGAUGGACUCCGUAGCCCAGGUGGACAGACUGGCCUGGGAGGAGGAAAAGAGGAGAGCGUGGGGCACUGCAGGGCCUGGACUUCCCUCUGGGGACUUCAGUUUUCUUGGUAAAGUAGGGGACUUGACUUGUAAGAGAGGCUACUUGCUGUGAGUGGAGGGAAUGUAGGGGCGGGCCUGAGGGAUUUGAAAUUUUGAGAAACACCAAUGUAUUCUUUUCCUAGAGCUGCUGUAACAAAGUCCCACAAACUGGGUGGCCUAAAACAACAGAAAUGUAUCCUGUCACUGUUGUGGAGGCUGGAAUUCUGAAAUCAAGAUGUCAGCGGAACCAUGCUCCCUCUGAAGGCUCCAGGAGAGAGCUCUUCCUUGCCUCUUCCUAGCUUUGGCGGUGGUACAUGAAGAACUCUUGAAGACAGGAGCUGCAGAGCUGGCCCCACAGCACCAGAGAUGUCACAGAAGAGCAGAAUUCCAGCCCUCCAUGGCACAUGGGCUACAUCUGCACUAUUUUGUUCAGAGCUCCAAGAAGCAGGUGCAUUGGGAUUUUCACCAAAGAACGAAAGGAAUAAACCCAUCUCCCUAUUUUUAACCCCCCAGAAGAAGCCUUAUUCUCUCCUUUCUGGAAUGUCAGGACCAGUGUCAUUUUGUCCAGGCUGCAUUGACCUCUUUGCUGGACCCCGGGCAUAGGGAGCCCUUGCUGCUUCUCCACCCACCAGUGCUGAGCUCCGGGGGUGUUUGCCUUGCAGGUCCAAGGUGAGAAUGUAAACACUGCAAUUCCUCUGAAAACUGGCUGGAACCUCCUCCAGGGAGGAAGGGUUGCUCAUGGGCUGGCCAGGCUCCCAAACAUCAUACACAGCAACCCGGAGCUCCAACUUAACACAGCUUGGGGCAGGUCCUCAAAUGACCUUCCGUUUCUUGUCUGCCCAUCUGAGAGGACCAUUCCAUUCCAAACAACAUUCCUUUGAUAAAAGUGGUUACACACUGUAAACAUCAAUGAGCCAGGAACAUUCUCCGGUGCAACAGGAUUCUGAUAAAGCAGUCCUAUUUUGCAAAACCUUCCAGUGUGAAACAUCCUCCCCACAGCAAGCAGGGAAAUUCCUGGGAUGCCACAACAUUGGGCAGAGUGUCCAGGGCCCCAGGGAAGGAGCAGAAAGUCUAGAGGUGGAGCUCCCAUUGUGGGCAGAGGGACCUGAGUUUUCAAUCAUCUGUUCAUCAGUCACUCACUCAACAAAUAUUUGCUGAACAUGUCCCAAGCGCCAGGCUCUGAUGGAGUCACUGGAAAUGCAGUGUUUCCACAUGACUGCAAAGCUCCCCUGACUUUCAAAAAGCAGCAAUGAUUUCCUCUCCCCACACAGUCCAGGUUGACAGUCGGGUGCAAUAUCCACACGCCUCUCUACCUCACUCCCUCUGUGAGUCUGGAUGUGUUCUUCUUCCUCUCCAGCCCCCUGGGCCCUCAUUCUGUUGGCUUUUCUGCUGUCACUCUCUGUUCGCAGGUAUCUCUUCUUGAGUCUGUUUCUGGGUCUCUCAGUCUCUAUUCUUCAAGUCUCCCUUUGUGUCACCAAGUGCUUCCCAGCCUAGCCACUCCUCUACCUCUCCAUCAGUCUGCCUUACUUCCAAUCAAUUCAUCCCCAUUUUUUUCUCCUUCCCUCUUCUGUUUCUUCUCCUUAAGUGACUGUUGAUACAGAACUAGAUACAUUUUUCUUAGGUUGGUGGAAUAGACUUUCACAUUCUCUGGUGUUUAGUUCUAAAAUUGAUUGAAAAAUGUUUGUAUUCUUUAGUGUUGUCUGAAUUUCUUAUAAGAGUAUGUGUAAUUCUUUAAAACUGUUUAUUAAAAUACGAUGCCUAUAUUAGUCCAUUUUCAUCCUGCUGUGAAGAAGUUCAUGAGACUGGGUAAUUUAUAAAGAAAAAGAGGUUUAAUGAACUCACCGUUCCACAUGGCUAGGGAGGCCUCACAUUCAUGGCAGAAGGCAAAGGAGAAGCAAAGUCACAUCUUACAUGGCCGCAGGCAAGAGAGUGUGUGCAGGCGAACUGCCCUUUAUAAAACCAUCAGCUCUCGUGAGACUUACUCACUAUCAUGAGAACAGCAUGGAAAAACCCACCCCCAUGAUUCAAUUACCUCCCACCAGGUCCCUCCCAUGACACAUGGGGAUUAUGAGAGCUACCAUUCAAGAAGAGAUUUGGGUGGGGACAAAGCCAAACCAUAUCAAUGCCCGUGAAAAAGUGCCCAUGAAAUGCCAUGCAGAGCUCCAAGAAUCUCACUCACUGAACACACUUGUGUAGCCACAUCUUGGACUAAAACUUGCUUAUGUUGCCUUUCAAUAUUCUCCCCCACAUGCGUCACCACUGCCCUCACUUCUCUCAGCAUGGACUCCUGUCUUUGAUAAAAGACCAAAUCCCUGGUUUUGUAUGUUAUGGAAGUGAAAUGCAGUCAUAUGGAUUAGUUUGUGUCUAGCUUCUACUGUUCAGGACUUCACGCUCUUUGUUGCAUGUAGGCAUGGACUCUUCAUUGUCUUUGUGAGGUGGUGGCCAUUGUGGGGCUAUCCCGCAAUUUCUCUUCAGUUGUUAAUAGGUAUUAGGGUAGUUUCCAUUUGCAGCUGUUACAAAUAGGCUGCUGUUAAAAUUCAUGUAUGUGUCUUUUGAUGGCAUGUAUUACUGUUAUAAUCAGGAAAGAACAAAGAAAACUAUUUCCAUUUGGAAAGAUGGGGAUGGCCAAGUGGGAUGUUUUCAUAAAAGGGCUCUGGAGUACGAGACAGAACACGAGUCUUCCUUCUGGCUUCUCUAUUCUCUAGUUCUACAACUUUAGGCCAAUCAGUUAACCUCAGUGAGUCUCAGUUUUCUUAUCUGUAAAAUAUGAACGGUAAUGCCUGUCAUUGGUAGGCAUUACUACCUCACAGGGUAACUGUAACAAUCAAAUGAGAUGAUGGAUAUGAGGAAAAAAAUUUUUAAGGUGUCAUGCAAAAAAUAAUGACCAGGUGUGGUGACUCAUGCCUAUAAUCCUAAUGCUUUGGGAGGCUUAAGCAAGAGGAUUGCUAGAGCCCGGGAGUUCAAGACUAGCCUGGGAAACAUAGUGAGACCCUGUCUCUACAAAACUAAAAUGAAAUAAAAAUUAGUCAGGCAUGGUGGCAUGCACCUGUAGUCUCAGCUACUUUGGAGGCUGAGGCAGGAUCGCUUGAGUCCAAGAGUUCAAGGUUACAGUGAGCCAUGAUCAUGCAACUGCACUCCAG
rnacentral:lncRNA from 10 species